rnacentral:lncRNA from 1 species
CAUGCGCCACCUCACUUCCAUUGCACCUAUUUGAAUUCAUGAGAAGGAACUUCUCAUAAAUUUUUUUCUCACGCCAAGCCCUCUCCACGCCCCACUUUAAUGUGCCAUAUAAAUGGAUAAGGAUGAUUGGUUGGCCAUUCAAAUUCAAAAUAAAGUUUGAAUUUGAAUGGGCAAUCAAUCUUUGUGCCUUAUCACUUUUUUUACGCCCCAUUUAUUACAUGAAAAAAGGUUUCUCAUGAAAGUACUCCAUGCACAACUUAAGAUACGCCUCACGCCUUUAGUGGAUAAUGGAUGAGUUGGUGUCCAUUUAAAUUCAAAAUUUGAUUUGAAUUCAAAUGUGCAAUUACUCAUCUUUAUCCUUUCUUUUGGAUAAGACGUUUGACGUUGCUAUAAAAGGAGGAGAAGAGUGGGGCGUGCAAGAAGAAGAAGAUUUUUGGAGAAAAAUUCUGGGGCGUGAGAAGUCUUGUGCGUGAGAAAGAAGUCCAUAUCCUUCCAAGAGAAAAAGAAAGAAAAGAAAGAAAAGUGGGUACAAGGUUUUCGAUGAGUUUUCUGGAGUUUUAGCCUGGGGUUCGGGAAGUGAGAAAGUGAGCUACGAGUAUCGUGAGCCCAC